AAACCGCUUAGGGGUUAAACCCAAUGAACUUGAAUAUUUGAAAAGGGAAAUUCAAUGUAUUAAUGAUUUGUAUAUUUAUAUAUGGAAAAUUAAUGCGUGCACUUUUCCCUUAGUAAAACAUUGCAAUCUGUUGAUGUACAUAAUUAUAUAUGUGUAAAUGUAUAUAAUUUUUUAUCAAAGACCCAUAAUGGAGUUUACUGUAUAUAAAUGGGUAUUUAUAUUUAUUUAUAUAUAGUUUACGUAUGGUGUUAGAUAAUAAUAAGUCGACAGAUUAUUAUUUAUAUAAUCACGUUUAAUACAAUUUCAUUGUAUAUUAAAUUAAUAUCGGGUAAUACAUCGGUAUAUGAUUUAUUAAUGACGUGUUUUAUAUUAGCAAUGUAUAUAAGAUUCAGGAUACCUUUGGGACCCGUCUUGAAACACGGACCAAGGAGUCUAGCAUAUGUGCAAGUUAGUAGAAAUAAAGAAUUAUAUUUAUUUAUGUUCUUUAAAUAUAUAUUUAUAUGUAUUAUAUAAUAUAAAAUCUACAAGCGUAAUAAACGUAACUAUAAUGGGAUUAUGAUAAUAAUAUCUUGUAUAUUAUUGUUUUCCAUCCCGGGACGUUCCAAAAUGAUUGAUAAACAUAUUUUAUAUGUUUUAUUAUCAUUGGAGCGUACCUUGAGCAUAUAUGUUGU
rnacentral:rRNA from 1 species